ensembl:lncRNA
AGUGUCACGGAGUGACUUCGUAAGGGCGGAACUAAAAAAUGACGGAGAUUGGUUCCACCCGGACCAUAAUUCUCAAACACCGGGAACUCCGGGAAGGGAAAUCAGGGUUUUAUUGAUCGCAGGUGGAUAGAUGAACGGGGCGAUCGUGGAUUGGGCAGUAUGAAGAGAAGGAGGAGUAUAAAGAGGGCCUCAGAAACUGCAGAGGGGGGGAAAAAGUUCUUUGUUUUAUUUCAGCCGAUACGGCGAGAGAGUUGGAGUGUUUGGGCGAGUACCGUGGAAAGAAGGCAGAGGAUAUUGUUGGCUGGGCAAAGACGGAGACAAGGGUUUGGCAGAAACAGACACCGGGCUGAGUAUAUUGGAAUGUCUACUUAACUGUGAAAUGCUCCAUGGACAUGUGUAACAAAUUCUGAGUGGUUGAAAACAGGAAGACUCACCGGAAGUAUCGCCGAAGGAGGCCUUUUCGACAGGGCACGUGGCAGCAGGAGAAGUACCCAGGAGCUGGAAAGAAGAGGGAAAAGAGACCUCGUGUAGUAACGGUGUGAGUACCCUAAACCAUCGUACAGCAGUAUAAUCAUCUAGAGUGAACCAUCUGUGAGCGUUUUGUGAGUUUGUGGCAUAGUAUGUGAGCGGCCCCACUGUGGAGGAGGAUUGUGGGUGAGCCGGGACCAGUGAGCGAGAGAGGAUGUUGGGCUGUUGUGGCGGCAACGUUUAAAUCUGAAUAUUCGUGGCAUCAGUGUCUUCACGACUUCCAGGAAGAGUCUUUGGUCAGACGGGGUGUUGACCCUAAAUUCACCAGAGUGUGUGGAGUGCAGUGGGUGAGUCUUUGUCCUUUGCUGUGAGUGUAUACACUUGAAAAUUGCAGUGUUGUGCUGUGUUGUGUCGUCAACAACCACCUUUCAGGCCCGACGAAAUCCUGUGAAGGAAGUGAAUACCGAGGCUCGAAGAAAACAUCUCCAAUUAUAUGCCGUCGAUGACAUCCUGACCCUUCUUCCCCACGUGACGGUGGUGGGAAACAAUUUCAAGUAAGAACAGUGUGGAUCUACUGGGAAGUAUUAAUGGUGAGGAGUUGGCUGCUGUAGGAGGAAAUCAGCUGUGCGUGUAUUAUUACCUGCUGUGGAGUUCUUCAAAGGUUCGCCCCUGUCUAGAUCUCUUGACUUGUCGGUUGGUAGAAGCCUCAGAAAAGGAACGUCUGACGUCUAUUCCCUCGAAGGUCUGUGAGUUACAUCACUUCCUGUUUCCCUGUAUAUUCACCGUAAACGUAUGCCCAAAGCUAAAGCCAGCAUAUUGUGUUGUACACUCACCUGUCUGCCCAGAGUGAAGUCCCAGUUACCUUUGAUGUACUUACCUUAUGCCCAAAGCUAAAGCCAGCAUAUUGUGUUUUACGCUCCUGUAUGCCCAAGUGAAGUCCCAGUUAUAUUGGAUGUACUUACCUUAUGCCCAAAGCUAAAGCCAGCAUAUUGUGUUGUACACUCGCCUGCAUGCUCAAGUGAAACCCCAGUUGUCUUUCCUACGGACUUACUUGUGCCUCCGAGUGAAGAGCCAGCGGCCCCUCUGUCCACUAUCCGUGUCCAGUCCUGUUACACUUACACUUAUGCUUUUGUGCAGAUCUAGCGGGUCCCUUUGAAGCGUCUACCUGCAUGUCGACUCGUCACUCAGGAUACAGAGACCGCGGAAACCCCCUCCCGUACACUUACCAGUACGGUUUUAGUUGGAACCCGGUAGCCCUUGUGCAGUUCCCCCAGCAGCUGGACGACCGGGAGUACAACCCGCUGGGCCGCCUCGGAGUUCGUCAAAGGAAAGGAGAGGGCCCUGGACAGUCGUCCUGCAAGUCAGAACAAAGGGGCACUUGUGAAUAAGCUGAUUGUCGUCACAUAGCCAGAAGGAAAGAGGAGUGAAGGACUCACCUGAGAUCUCCCGUGACGGAGUCUAAGAGACUCGAGAUUGUUACUCUCCAAAAGGAGGGUUGGAUUUUAGCCUCCCUUCCCCAUACCCUUUUUUUUUAGUAAUUUAAUAAAGUCUGUUUUAAAAUUUACUUACCGGCUCUCGUGUGUCUGGUCAUUGGGGUAUUCUUGGGACCUCCUCGAGGUGGAAAUUAGGAAGGGGCGUGACUCACAACAUCUGUGGUCAGCUCCGACCUGUGACAGAUUUUUGGCGUAGUCGGCAGGGUUCCACCUCGGGUUGAGCGACCAAGGUUCCCCAAUGGCCGACAACGAGUUGCAAGAGGCCCUACCCCGAGUCAUGCCAGUGUUUAUGGGGAACCCCUGGAUCCAGAAGUACGGCGGAACUGAGUCUGAAGUACGAUUAGCCGAAUGGAAAGCUCAGAUCGAAUAUUUGGCCGGGAUUCAAGGGUUGAGUGCGGCACAGCAGCUGCAGUUUGUUCUUAAUUCUCUAGAGGGGGAAGCGCGGCGGGAAGUCCAGGCCGCCCCAGAAGCCGUCCG